AGAACACAUCAGAGAGCCGACAGCUCAUCUGUCAGUGCUACAACUUGGCACUGAGGCAAAGGCUUCUGCAAGCAUUUCUCUCUCCCUUCCAGGAGAUGUUACCAAGCUACCUGCCUGCAUCCCUUCUGGAAAGCCACUGAAGAGAGCUACUCUGUCCCAGCAACACACCCUUUGCAUCCAGCACAACCCCUACUGCUCCAUGAAGGGGAACCACAACAGUUGUAACAUGUUACAGGACGAUCUAACACCAAAAGACUGGGAGAUGAUCUGCAUAUUCAGUCCUUUGACAACUGGAACCAGCUACAUAUUGAAGAUUUGCAUUUGAAAAGGACUUGCUCAUCCUCCCCAUGGGAUCAAAGCAGAAGGAAAUCUUACUGUUGACUUUAGAACUUCAUUAGUUCCCACAGCAACCGACUGAUGACAUGCAGGCAUGGGGCUGUCAGCUCCACAAAGCCUUGCAAGCAACUGAGACCUGAGGUUUGUAGUAGCUGCAUAGUUCAAAGAAAAAAGCUGCACUUCACAUAGAGCUGCAGUAUGACACCGAUCCCUUUGGAAAAUUUCAUACUUCACAGUAUCUUUCCCUAACUCGAAUAGUAUACAUCCACCUCGCUGUUAAGUAUUGUAGUUGGAAUUCCUAUUACAAAGCAUUGCUUUGCAAACAAUAGAGCUCCAAAUCUUACAGAGUGAGAUUCUCU
rnacentral:lncRNA from 1 species